CCGAGAGCGGCGGACGGUGAGUAACACGUAGGACAACCGUGCCCCCCGGUUCGGGAUAGCCCAGGGAAACCUGGAUCAAUACCGGAUGCGAGGGCGGCCGCACAAGCGGCCGUCGGAAAGGCGCUUCGGCGCCGCCGGGGGAUGGGUCCGCGUCCCAUUAGGCUAGACGGUGGGGUAACGGCCCACCGUGGCGAUGAUGGGUAGCCGGCCUGAGAGGGUGGACGGCCACAUUGGAACUGAGACACGGUCCAGACUCCUACGGGAGGCAGCAGCUAAGAAUCUUCCGCAAUGGGCGAAAGCCUGACGGAGCGACGCCCGCGUGAACGAAGAGGGCCGUGAGGUUGUAAAGUUCUUUUCGGGAGGGGGAACAGGCUGCCAGGCAAUGGGCGGCCGAUGACGUGAAUCCCGGAAUAAGCCCCGGCUAACUACGUGCCAGCAGCCGC
rnacentral:rRNA from 1 species